rnacentral:tRNA from 1 species
GGAGGAUUUGAGCGGCCAAAGGGGCAGACUGUAAAUCUGUUGUCAUCGACUUCGGUGGUUCGAAUCCACCAUCCUCCACCA